CCUACGGGCGGCAGCAGUGGGGAAUAUUGCACAAUGGGGGAAACCCUGAUGCAGCAACGCCGCGUGAAGGAAGACGGUUUUCGGAUUGUAAACUUCUAUCAAUAGGGAAGAAAGAAAUGACGGUACCUGGGGAGGAAGCUCCGGCUAACUACGUGCCAGCAGCCGCGGUAAUACGUAGGGAGCGAGCGUUGUCCGGAAUUACUGGGUGUAAAGGGAGCGUAGGCGGGACUGCAAGUUGGGUGUCAAAUCUACCGGCUCAACCGGUAGCCGCACUCAAAACUGCAGUUCUUGAGUGAAGUAGAGGCAGGCGGAAUUCCGAGUGUAGCGGUGAAAUGCGUAGAUAUUAGGAGGAACACCAGUGGCGAAGGUGGCCUGCUGGGCUUUUACUGACGCUGAGGCUCGAAAGUGUGGGGAGCAAACAGGAUUAGAUACCCCGGUAGUC
rnacentral:rRNA from 1 species